rnacentral:lncRNA from 1 species
UAUUUAUUUGUAGGAAAUAAGUGGAGCUGUGGAUUUCGGGAGAAAAUGAUGCAGCGUUAGAGCAACAUAUAGUUUCCGAGAAAUUAAAGAGAGCUGGGAUAGUGGUUAAGCUAAUUAAUCAUUGGGGGAAGAAAUCAUCUUCAUCCAUGACUAGCACGUGAGUACCAGACUUCACCCCAUUUUGUCACCUUUUCCAGUCAUCUCACGCCACGUGGCAACUUGCUCUACUCUUUCUAUAGUGUUGACCGAGAGACCAAAAAAAAAAAAAAACCUAAUCCCAUUCUUGGCUAAAGAGGCAGCCGCACAAGGACUCAUCCUCUCUUCCCUUUCUUCUUGAUGAACGCAGCCGCACCACCUCACCUCAUUUUCACCGGUCUCUCCCAAUUUUCAUACUUCCAUUUUCAUCUCAACACCAUUCACCUCAAGGCCACCAUUCUCCUCAAGACCACUUCAUCUUCAAAAGAGAUUAAGAAUGAGCUCUCACCAACAUCAUCAAAACUUCACCAACUCAAAAGAUUUUUAUUUUUGGUAAAUAGAGGAGACUUAAUAUCAAGUGGGUUCAUGAUUGCUUAUAGCAAUUUGUGAACCUAACCUCUUUUCUCUAACCCUUCUAUCAAUUUCUUAUGUAUAGAUUUGUUAAUGGGUAGUGAGUAGUUUGAUUUUGGGAGUUAGGGUUGUGAAGCCCUAACUCAUCUUGUAAUGACAUUGAUACUUUAAUUUUAAUAUAUGUAUUUUCAUUGUGUAUGCUUUGAAUCCGAAUUUAUUGGUCCUUAUAAGCAUGUUUCUAGGCUUAGUCACCAUUUGAAAUUAUGUUGUGGGCAAUUGUGAUGAGUAGAUUAAUGAGUUGACUACUUGUUAGUCUUGUGGCAUCUAAGAUUUAAACAUGGUAACCAUUAGCUAGCUUAAUUGUAGCUAAAUCUGCUUGGGUCUCUAUUAUCUUGCACUCUAGGCCUCUAAUUUAGAUAUUACGGCCUUAACCGGCGUAGUGCCUAAAUUAGAGAGUUGAUUGUGGCCUUAACCGGUAUAAUCGAUACACCGUAAGGAUAAUUGGUCUAGUAGCCCUAACUGGUAUUAGAUACGAGACUUGACACAUUAGGAAAUGCAUGCAUUUAUGAGGUUGGCGUCAAUAUUUGCAAGAGGGUUACUGUGGAUCACCCGACACUCCCAUGUCCCCAUUGAUUUGAAAAACUAAAUUUACUUUCUAGCUUGUUAAUUAGUUGUUUACUUUUCAUUGUAGUUUGUAUUAAUUUAGUUUUCCCCAAUUCAACUUUUAUUCAACUAUCGACUCAUUUGUGUAUAAUCACCCUUGGGGUUACAAGUUAGUGGUCUUGAUUAGGCUUAGUGCGAGCAAGGCCGAGCAUUGCCAAGGAGUGGUGCUGCCUUGAGUGUUUGGUUAUAAUUUUCUUUGUCUUUAUUUUAUUUUUCUUGUGUGCCUUUUAGUACUCCUAAGCCGAUUACCUUGGUUAGGUCCAACCUAAUCCUCAUGGUACGAUAACUAAGGUCUAAAUAACUCCUUUACUUGACACGAUUCGUACUCUUGCGAGUUUAUGAUUCAAGUCAGACUACCGACGCCGUUCUACAAAAUUAUCAAUUGAUUUUUCUUUUGUUUAAGUAUUUUGUUUAUUACGUACUAUAAUAACUCUUUAAUUUAGAUACUUCAAUUUACACAAUAAGAGUGAUACUGACAAUACAUAAUUUGGUAAAUCUUUUGAAUGCUUAGCUUUAUUGUAGUUGAGAUACUUUGUGGUAGUAUGAAGCUAAAUGAAUCAAUUUCUAAAUGCAUACAAUAGAAUUCUAGCUGUAGACGGUAGCAGAAUGAUGGCUACCUGGCCCAAAGACCGUCCGAGAGCCCAUCAUGAAAACAACAAGUAUGGUCAAAUUCUGGGAAUAAUAUGGGCUAAGGCGAAGCAAGACUAGAGCACCGAACGAAUGCCUAUGUAAACUGUUUAAAGGAAGGUACAUUUAUCCCAUAUUGAUCAACAAGGGAAGUGCAAGUCAACACAGGGCUAUAAAUAAAGCAGAAAAUCAACAGAACAUGUAACAUUAAUUACGUUAGUAGUUACACUUUCACCUACUAAAUAUUGACUUUACCAUCAAAGGGGGUAACACCGAAAAGUCCCGAUCAUUAUUCCUUACCGUAGGUUGCAUGUGGUAAGAAGAAGAAGCCUAUCCCAGACACGUGCCGAGCUUCUAUUGACCUUACGGGAUCACGCAGAAACAUUUGGCAUCGUCUAUAAGAAUUCUUAAUUAACGUGUCUCGAUGGCUGAGCAUCGCAAGCAAGAAGCCAGAGACGAAGCAGAUUUAGGGGACCUCCAACGAAGUCUAUUUGAAAAAACCCCCGAAAACUACAGCGGGGAGUUCAAGGAUCACGGAAAAUCAACAACGGGAGCAUGGAGACCAGCAAUGAGAACGAACUUUAGAUAGGGAGUUUUUACAUGCUCUUCCAACACAAUAACUAUCUUUUACAAAUUGCUGGUAUGCCAUCGUUGCAAAACUCUAAGGCUCGGAAGAGUUUACUUAAUCCUAUGCAUGGAAAUUAUGGUAAAAGUGGCGUAUGUCUCGGCAAUAGUUACAGAGCACUUAUAUCUACGUUCAGUGCAUAAGAUUGAAAAUCCUGAAGAUUUGGUGAGGGAACAGUCAAAAAGAGAAGUGAACAUUGGUUGCCCCAAAUUAAAAUAGAGAAGUUUGAUAAUAUUGGUGAAGGGCACACAAAAUAUAUAGAAUUGUUAAAAGCCAGAGGGCAAGGUUUAUGAAGAGUGGGAAAGUAUUUCAAGAAAGUUGGAGAUGUAGGUUAGGAUUGUUAUUUUCUGCAAUAUAAUGAGGGUGCUGAAAUUCACACACCCAAAUUUACAAACCACGCACCCCUCAUAUUUUUUAAUGUUGUACUUUCUCACUUCUACACUUCCUAAAAUACCCUCGAGUCCUUUUCUUUUCUCUCUUUCUCCGCCAAGAAACAUGAACAGAAACGUCCAGCACUUGCUCAUGUCUAAUCUGUGCUCAUCCCAUUUCAUCCCUAAAUCCUCUAACUUCGACCAGGCCUGCAAAUGAGACCCAUGCUGGAACGCUUAUUCCCGAAGCAAUCCACAACCCAACUUAGCGUCAUUCAAUUCUAUCUUUUCUCUCCUCCCUCAUCUUCCUCCCUUUUCCCAUACGAAUCCUUCGUCAUCCAUUGAAGCAAUUCUUUAUUGGAUUCUGAUCCCCUCAUGAGCGUACGAUUUCGAGAUUGAAUCAAAAAAAUGAAGAGGGAGAAGCCGAAGCAUCGAGACUUGAAGUAGAGUGAUAAUCAAGAUGAAACCAUCUCCCAGAUCAAUAUAUGUGAACCAACUGAGUUAACAAUUGGUGGCUUUAAUCAAGAUGAAACUCCUCACAUUUAGUUUCUUGGUAGGAGCUGUAAUUAGGAUUUCAAAAUUAGGAUUUGAAAGUAGAAAAUCCAAUUUGAAGCAAUCGGCCAUUAUUGGCCGCAUAUGGGGAGAGAUUGAUCAAAAGUCUUCCAAUAGACUAGAAUGGGUCUAAUCUAGAUCAUAUGAAUCUAGUAUAUACUUAAUGAUACCAUCCAAAAGAACCAGGACAAUAAGAUGAACAAGAAAAGCUGAUAUUUACCCAGAUCCAUGGUCGGCUUAACCAUAAUGAGAAUUGGCUCUGGUGGAUUUUGAAGAGAUUGAGAAAUCAAGAGGCAAAGAUGGGUCAUACAUCUAUAUUGCUAAUUAGUAUUCAAUCUUAGAAUGGAAAUUGAUUUCACAAAUGUGCAAGANNNNNNNNNNNNNNNNNNNNAAGAUAUUUAUUUAAUUGAAUGGUCUUCAUGUAUUGCUUCAUUGUUUUUUGUUUUGUAUAUUCAUAAUUUUAUGUUUUUUAAUUAAACAAAAUCAAUUAUCUUACCUAUAUACCUGCCACACCCCGGUUUCGAUAUCGGUAGGUUUUAAGCACCGGAUGCCGAUUCUGAAGUGUGGGUGUUACAAUGCAGAAUGUAAACACAAGCACUAUCUUCUAGGUUCGUCCAACCCAUUUCCUAGCUCGGUCAAAUCUAAAUACUUCUCUGCAAAAAAAGUAUUAGAGAUGAGUGAGUGAGUGAGCAAAACCAUGCGCUCAGUGAGUAAACCAAUGUAAUAUGUUUGCAAAGGUUUAUCAUUUUACACACGCUACAAAAUAUGUAUAUCAUAUACACGUCAGUUCAAGCAAUUCAUCACAUCACACAAUCCCUUUUUAUUGGAUAUCUUUCAAUUUAGUGAUUCCCACGGGAACCUAAUGACUUUCAAGUAUUAUACCACCGUAUGUCACAUCCUUACUUCGGCAUAACCAAUCAAGAAGUUUACAUGUUUCAUGACUAAUCAAAAAAUGGUUUUAGCACAUAAUUAUUUAUAAACUCUACAUAUUUUGCAAAACAAUAUGCUUCACUAGAAAACUGAGAGAUAUUUCGUAAAUAGAUCGAAAUCAUGUUUUUCGACUAAUUUGAUAGCAAAUAAGAAUAUUUAAAACACAUUACACAAAUCCACUCACCUUGAUAAUACGAAUUCCCACCAAGAACAUCGAUCGUAAACCGAGCCUUCUAAAACGAGUUAUCUAGAAAUCACCAUUGGAUCUAACCCAAACCUCAACAGAUAGAAAGAGGGAAUCAAGACGAAUCCGUAGCCUUUUGCAGAUUUAGAAUCGUAGUUACGGAUCAAAAGUUAUGAUCCGCUGAAGUUUUAGAUCGAUAAACCGAAAAUUCUAUAUAGAGAGAGAGAGAGAGAGAGAGAGAGAGAGAGAGAG